rnacentral:rRNA from 1 species
UACGUAGGCAGCGAGCGUUGUUCGGAGUUACUGGGCGUAAAGCGCGCGUAGGCGGACUCUUAAGUCGGUGGUGAAAUCCUGGAGCUCAACUCCAGAACUGCCUUCGAUACUGAGAGUCUCGAGUCCGAGAGAGGUGAGUGGAACUGCGAGUGUAGAGGUGAAAUUCGUAGAUAUUCGCAAGAACACCAGUGGCGAAGGCGGCUCACUGGCUCGGUACUGACGCUGAGGUGCGAAAGCGUGGGGAGCAACAGG